ACGACUGCUCUUCUACCUCUCUUGCUGCCCUUCCCUUUUUGGUUUGCUUCUGUUCUGUUUCCUCUCACUUUUGGGUGUUUCAGUAUGUCUGGAGAAGAGGAAGAAAACGCAGCUGAGCUCAAAAUUGGAGACGAGUUUUUGAAGGCCAAAUGUUUAAUGAAUUGUGAAGUGGCCUUAAUUCUUGAGCAUAAGUAUGAGCAGCUUCAGCAGAUGUCUGAUGAUCCUACGAACCAAAUCUCUCAGGGAUAAGGAAUGGCGGGGAGAUCAUAACUGUGUUGUGGGCUGCACUUUCCUUCUGCUCUUACUUACUUUGCUUCUGUUCGUCCAGCUAAUGCAACUGAGCAAAAGAGGACACAAUUCCAAGAACAGCACUUGGCUAGACACAAAUAUAACUGACUGCUUCAAGACAGUAUGGAAGACUCCUUAUAUCAUGAACCUUGCACUCACUCAGGCCUUCAAGGACUAUUGUUUUGUUGGGGUACAGGUAUCAUCAUCGUAUAUGAUGAAUUCUUUGAUAAUUAAGUUGUGUUUUUGUUUUUGUUGCUUAAUUUGUUUUUUUGUUGGCUAAUUUGUUCUUUCUGAUUAGGUGGUUUCUGUAGAUUAGUUAUGAACUUCUCUGCUUCUAUGAUUAUUUCGCAUCUUUUCAGUAAGUUCUUUUGGGUUGUUUCGCAUCUUUUCAGUAAGUUUUGGGGAGAUGGCAUAUAUGGUGGAUAUGGUUUAAUUCUUUUUUUCUCACUGACAAUAUGAUGCACAUGUGAAUAUUGUAUCUUUGAAUUCCCUUUAUUAAUGUAUCUAUUUUGCUCCAGGCAUACGUACAACUAGAGAGCAGUCGACUGAAACUGACCCAACUUUAUCAAGAGCUCCAGCGAGCUCGCCAGCAAGUUUUGCAGCUCUUAUUUUGGUGUUUGAUUCGGGUUUUGUUUGAGCUUUUGCAAACUUUUAUUUGGUCAUUCCAUUGAUCUGGGUUUCCCCUUCUUACAAAUCUUAGGAUCUUAGAUUAAAGGUUCGUUCUUACUUCCUCUAUUUUAUUCCUUCCUCAAGUUUGUCGGCUUCUGCUUAAUCUCUGGUUUUUUUUUGGGUAUGUUUCCUUGAUUCUUCUUUGUUGCAGGUUGCUACCAAUUUUGUAUCACUUCCUUCACUGUCAUUGCUCCUACGCUGCCACUAUAUCCUUGACGUAUUUUUGGAAGCGGCAUCAUUUGGAUGGCCUUGGUAGAGUUACACGACUUCUUGAAGUUAAAAGAAAGCAGUGGCGAAUAUUAAUUUUAUGACACUGAUAGGGCAUGAGAAGUGGCUAAUUAGCAGUGGUGGUAUGGUGAUCAUCAAUGCCUUUGGAGACGGUAACUACAUAGUCAAGCAAGGAUUGUGGAUCUGGAACAUCCGGGUUCAGCUUCUCAUACUCAAAAGUCCACUUCACCAAGCUUCCGUCACCUUUUGGAGUAGCUUGAACCGUUACCAACAAGUCCUUGUACUCCUUCAACGGAUCUCCGUCAAUCACUCUAUAAGAUGAUAAGUAGUUCACGUCAUCUAUCACUUCCAAUCUAUCCUUUGCAACCUUUGGAACCCCAUCUAGUACCACAACUCCACAACGUUAAUAUAUACCUCAUAAUUAUUUUAAAUUAAGCAACUUUAAUUAGGGAGUGUACAGUGAAUGUCAAACUUGCAUGAUAUCGUUUUUGGUUAUUAAAAAAAAAUGUACAAUCUUAUCAUCAUCUAAUGAUGAUAUGUUCCGUAUUAUUACUAAAAUUGUUCAGAUAGAUUGAGAGAUCA